AUGUCUUCACCGCCGCCAAGCCCGUCUCUUCCGCUGCCGGUCACCUUGUCGCCUCCGGCGACCACCACGACCGUCGCCCCACUCCUGCCCGCGCCGGGAUCCUCUGUCGCGCCCGCCCCCGCUGUCCUCACCUGGGAGGAGGUGUCCGGGGUGCUGCGGGACCUAACCCAGGCGGUCCAAGAGAUCCGCCUGUUCUUGGCGGGGUCCCACGGACCGCACCCGGCUGCGCCGCCCAUCCCCGCGUCGCCGUGGCUGCCGUGGCAGCCGCCGCACCAGGCGGCCUUCGCCGCGCCGCUGCAGCUGCCAUCCAUCGCCACCACCGCCCAACCCUGGCUGCAGUGGCAGCCGCCGCUCCUAGCGGCCUCCGCCGCGCCGCUGCAGCUGCCAUCCAUCGCCACCACCGCCCAACCCUGGCUGCAGUGGCAGCCGCCGCUCCUAGCGGCCUCUGCCGCGACCGGCGCUCCGCCGCAGCAGCCGCUGCCGCUGCCCGGCACGACACCGCAGCAGCCGCUGCAGCUGCAGCAGCCACCGCCGGUGAGCUCCGCCGCCCAGUAUGGGAUGCCCUACAACGGGAGUGCGACGACCUCGUUCCCAUCAGCGCCGCCGCCAUCCCAGGGCGUCCACAUCCAGCAGAUCAAGUCCCCGCCGUCGCCGUCACCGCUUCCGUCUUGGAUUGCUACCCGCCACGUGUCGGCGGCGGUGAGGCUGCAGGCUGCUGCACGCGGCUUCCUAGCGCGUCGGCGUGUGCGGGAGAUGUGUGGUCUGCAGCUGCCGCUCCUCCAAGUUUCCCUUGGCUGCGCAAAGGACCUCGAUCCCGUCUGCUGCGUCGGGGAUCUUGGGCAUGCGGUUUCCCCCACGGGCGGCGAGCAUGCUGUUUUCUCCGCGGGCAGCGACCUCAAAGUCUGUGACAUCGGCGGUUGGGGAGGCGCACCCCUCCUCGUCAUUCUCCAUCGCAAGCCCUCCACUCUUCCUUGUGCGGUGCAGACCAACAGCAGUCCGGCGGGGAGAAGGCAGGGUGUCACCGACAGGAGCACACCGCGUAGCACCACUGCUUUCCGCCGCCGGCCGCCGCGAGGGCGGCUCUGCUGGUCGCUCUUGCGACCACUUCCAGGUGGCCAUACACAUGCACUCCUUUGGUCCAGGUGGUGUCCAUGGGAUCCAGGUGGCUGUACACGUGCACGUCCGACGUGCUGA
rnacentral:rRNA from 1 species